AUUAAAAUCAACAAUUAUGCCAGAGGUUUUUAUAGAGCAAUGCCUCUCACACUGCUAAAAAAACAUGUGCCAUCUUUUGACAUAAAUUUCUGGCAUUCCUAUUCCAUAGUCUAUUUGGAUAACUUUUUUCACGGUAACGCCCUACUGUGUUAUAACAAAUUAAAAUUCAAGUACGGUUUACCGGACGAAUCUAAACUAAACUGCUCAGCGAUAGUAA